AUGGUCAUCUAACACCCCAGAUCUGUGUCAUGACUUACCUGCUGUCUGUACAGUAAAAGGUUAUCCAACACACCAGAUCUGUGUCAUGGCUUGCCUGCUGUCUGUAGAGUAAACAGUUAUCCAACACCCCAGAUCUAUGUUAUGACUUGCCUGCUGUCUGUACAGUAAAAGGUUAUCCAAAACCCCAGAUCUAUGUCAUGACUUGCCUGCUGUCUGUACAGUAAAAGGUUAUCCAACACCCCAGAUCUGUGUCAUGGCUUGCCUGCUGUCUGUAGAGUAAACAGUUAUCCAACACCCCAGAUCUAUGUUAUGACUUGCCUGCUGUCUGUACAGUAAAAGGUUAUCCAAAACCCCAGAUCUAUGUCAUGACUUGCCUGCUGUCUGUACAGUAAACAGUUGUCCAGCACCCUAGACCUGUGUCAUGACUUGCCUGCUGUCUGUAUAUGGUCAUCUAACACCCCAGAUCUAUGUCAUGACUUACCUGCUGUCUGUACAGUAAAAGGUUAUCCAGCACCCCAGAUCUAUGUCAUGACUUGCCUGCUGUCUGUAUAUGGUCAUCCAACACCCCAGAUCUAUGUCAUGACUUGCCUGCUGUCUGUACAGUAAAUGGUUAUCCAGCACACCAGAUCUAUGUCAUGACUUGCCUGCUGUCUGUACAGUAAACAGUUGUCCAGCACCCUAGACCUGUGUCAUGACUUGCCUGCUGUCUGUACAGAAAAUGGAUCCCCACACCCCUGACCUGUGUCAUGGCUUGUCUGUUGUCUGUACCGUGUACUGCUCCCCAUCAGUGAUGACUGGGAGAUUAUGGUCUAUGGUUGUUUGUGUGCUACCAUGCCCUUGCAGCACAAAUGAUUAUGGAGAUUCUGGUUAACUUCCCAGUGCUUGUUGUCAGAGCCAACUGUGACUGCAUGUAUUUAAGUGUCCUUGUAUUCCGAAUUCAUGGCUGGAUGAUUGCAGUGUCAUCCGUCUGUGUGCCAGGUCCAGACCUAAGUGUUUACAGACUGGUGUGACACAGUUGAAAUAAUGCUGAAAUUGUGUAUUAAUACCAGUAACAACUUGUAGGUAUAUGUAUGUAGUCAGUUUCAAGAAGUCCUGAGACGCCCCAUGUACUGCGACAGUCGGAUGUCAGUGUUCCAGUCGUGGCAGCUUCAUGUCCAUGAUGGGUUGUUGUUGUGUGAUCAUUCCUGUAUGAUAUAUAAGUUAUUAUUGUUGUUAACUUGUUACAGAUAAUAGGAUGAAAUGCAUGUGUGUUCAUUUUGAUUGUGUCAUUAAUGUGCUGAAAUUAGCCUACUAUUUAUAAAUGCCCCAUGCACCUUAUGCAGGUGUGUCAUCUGUAGGAGACGUACACCUGUAGGCCAAGCAUUCUUCCCACGGAACCUUCUAGAGCAAAGAGGUUGUCCUAGAUACUGUCAAUAGAGCCUUCCGGCCAGGAAUGUAUUAUUGAGUAUAGAAUGAGUAGAAAUGUUGUCUUUGAUUGUUGAGUGUAUGUUACAGCACAGUAUUAUAUACAGAGUUGAUCUCAGAUUUGUUGACACUGUUUCCAUAGACAACGAUGACAGAGUAGAAAACAUCUUGUAGUGGCAAAACAGACGAUGUAUCAGCACAGUAGGUCAACGUCUGAAAUACUGACCAUCAUGGUCUGUGUCUUUACAUUGAUUUAUGAUCACUAUGGUGUAAAUACAAGUUAUCAGUCUUGUAACCAUGGUUACAGCUGUCACACUUCAGCAUUAUAAUGGUUACUGAAUUCAUUUCUUUUUGUGUUCAUCAACUGCAACCAAAACCUGCGAUGAAUAAAAUCUAUUUCCAAUCUUCA